ensembl:lncRNA
ACGCCACGCCCCCUCUGGCCACGCCCUCGCCCCGCCCCACCUCGAGACAGUCGGAAGCCCAUCCAGGCUGCAUGUUCAGUAAAGGGGCGACCCGGCAUGUGCCUCACGGCCCUAACGACGUCCGGAUAAACAGGGAUACAGUCCGGAUACGUCCCAGAGGCAGGGAGGUGGCAACGUACGACCCGCUCCACCUAAUGGGAAGGAAAAUGAGAAAAGGAGCCGACACCAAGGCUGCCCCCACCUCAGCGAGAGGCGGCCCCAGUCACUGAGACCAGGAGGUCCUACCUGCCGGCUCCAGAAAUCCAGGUGUGAGCCCUUAGCAGAGACACCGAUUCCCGGAACACAGAGCCACGCCCUGUGGGUGUCGUAGAAGUGAAGUGACCUCUGCAGAGGACCGGGCCGCCUGGCUGGAAGAAGCGUCGUUUUCCUCCCACCUUCUCCAAGGAGUUGGACGGUGUCUCAAGCCCGAAGCAGCGGUCUGCGGGGUGCUGACAGGCUCACUCCGGCCCGUGGCCCCAGGACGGCACGAGCUCGGGGGGACACACUUCGAUGGCCAGGGAAGGUUUGAGAGAGGAAGCGGUGUGUGAUGAAGGUCACACCGCUCGCUCUAUGCCCAAUUGCCAAGUUAAAAGAGGACUAACGCCUUAAAACUUUGAAGGGGAGACUCAGCCAAGAAUGCGCACUCCUGCUCAGUUUGUAGAAACACGUGCCUGUCUGGAUUCCACGCCGACAGAGGACCUAACAGCAGCUCAGUCGUUAAGUCCUUUAGACUCUUUGGAUUGCAUCCUACCGGGCUCCUCUGUCCAUGGGAUUCUCCAGGCAAGAACACUGGAGUGGGUUGCCAUUUCCUCCUCCAGAGGAUCUUCCUGAGCCAGGGAUCAAACUUACAUCUCCUGCAUUGGCAGGAGG